AGUGAUUUGUAUUCUAUUUUAAUUUCAGCACAUGAAAAUAUUUCUACUUCUGACCAUCGAAGAGAAUGGAAAACCAUUUUCCAGAUCAGCCCUCAUACAUCCUCCUGAUGGCCUAACAACUGAAUGACAUGUCGAUGCUGAGUAUGAUCCAUUUCAAUCAUUUGAGGAAGCUCUCCCUGAUAUAGGGGAUUGGAUGUACAAUGACGGACAUACGUUUAAUGAAGGAUUUGAAGAUGGUUUGAGUGAGGAGUGUGCAGAAGAGUCCAAUUUCAAGGACACAACAGACAAACCAAUACAUGACAAUGCAUCAGAAACCAUGGCAGAGUGCCUUCUGAUCAGCAUGGGUUAUGUAAACUGUCCUAAAGUCACAGGUAAGGCCCUAAGCCAUAUGCUCAAAAUGUUCAAGUUGCUUUAUCCCGAUAGUCUGAACACAGACUGCUUAAACAGUGUGCAGAAGUUCCAAAACUUUUUUUUAUCCCACUCUGCAUCAUCGCCUACUAUAUUACAUAAAUCCUCCAAGAAUUGUUUUGGGCCAAUAGAAAGUAAACAAAUAAAAUGCCUGCUUUGUGGGACCAGUGUGUCAGAAGAAAGGUUCUAAUCCUUUUUUUAAAGUAUGUACAGAUUGAUUUCUUGUUUACCACAGCACAUUCAUGUGCCAAAUGGGCCCUCGUUGGUGAAUAUAAACAUGCAGGUUUUUCUUUGCUGCAAGAUAGUGUAACAUAUGAGACAUGCAGUCAUGUUAUUCCCCUAUUGGAAACCUCUGCAGUACAGUAGUAUUCUUGGAUGACAUAUUGGGUAAAGUUGUUUUCCUUGACUUCACAUCUAUGCCUGGCAUAGUGAUUGCAGUUCAUUUCCCCAACACACUUGAAAAGUUUGAAAUAAUGAAGAACUGAACUGGCCUAAGAAGCCACAAAUCAAAUCUUUAAUCAUUGUUAUAAAUGCUCUGAAAAUACACACUGAUGUGAUGUUGCCGUGGAUUCUGUAAAUAUGUACUGUAUAUGGAGUAUCAUUGUUGAUGAUGUUUUUGCAUUGUGUGUAAUAUUUCAGUGGCAAAUAUAUUACAUUUACUUGUUUAAUAAAGCCACUGUCUUUUUUAAUGAAUACAUAGGCCUACUAUGCUACUGCAUUUUAAUAUUAGUCCUUAUGAUGGUGGUUGGAGAGCCAAAUAUCUUCUGAAGUGGUACUUUGUUAAAAGAGUUUGAGAACCACUGCUCUAGAAAGUUCACAAAUGUUAAAAGCUCUUACAAAGUGUCUUGUGAUCAUAUCAGUAUUGUUUGGGUUCAGUUUUAAAUCUCACAAUUGUAGUCACCGAGUUACUGUACAUGACGUGUGGAUAAGAAAUCAACAAAUUAAGUCCAACUUUAUUUAAAUAAACCAUUUAGAUUACAGACCAUAUAUCCAUAUUGUCUGAAUUCAUUAUUUUCUCCCAAUGUUGGCAUGAGAUCAACUGGAAUAUGAUUGAGGUAUAACUAAAUUGAGCCCAUUAAAAUGCAUUUUUUUUAGAAAACGGGUAUAUCUAACAACUCAAAUAGUGAGCAGUGAGAGACAAAACCAAGUAUAUCUCUCACUGAGACAUCAUUGAGACAUAUUGAAACGUAUACUCAUCAAUUGUCUUUUUGCCGAAAUAGAAAAGAGACAUCUGAGAACUCAAACAGUGAGUAGUGAGAAACAAAACCAGGUGUUUCUCUCACUGAGUCAUAAUUGAGACAUAUUGGAGACCAGCUCAUUCAUCUCUCAUUUUGGUCUUAGUUGAAAUGGGGAAAAGAGAUAACUAUUAGACAACUAUGAGAUCUCUCAUAGUGCUCACUGUGAGCCUUAUUUCUCAGGCGAUACAUUUGAGAAGAAGGAGAAAACUACUUUGGUCUCCAUUAGUGCUCUUUUAUGUCUAGGAGAUAUAUAUAAGACAUACAUGAGAUCUCAUCUUCAAUUUUGCUUUGCUAUGGGAAACAAGUGUUUGAUGAGCAUUCCUCAACUUUUUCGGUCUUUUUUGACACUCGUGCCAGCUUUUUUUAAGCAUGUUGCAGGCAUCAAAUUCCAAAAUGAGCUAAUAUUUGCAAAAAAAAAAGUUUCUCAGAUCCAACAUCAAAUAUCUUGUCUUUGCAGUCCAUUCAAUUGAAUAUAAGUUAAAAAGGAUUUACAAAUCAUUGUAUUCUGUUUUUAUUUACCAUUUACACAACGUGCUACUUCACUGGUUUGGGGUUUUGUACAUGUUGACAGUACAUUGCAGUGUUAUUUUGUUACAGCCGUGCCCACUGUGUGAAGUACUUUUGCAAGACUCCUAGCAAUAAUAUUACACUUCACCAAAGAGCCUGCUGUAAAAGAAAUGACCAUUGAAUGAAGAUACAUACUCAGGUCACCGUGAUCUGAAAAGGAGAGUGAAGAAUGUUUUUGUAUUCCCCAGAUUCUAAUCAUCUUGGAUGAAUAAACAAGCAAUUCCUAAUUUCACUUGGAAAUGUGUUUACUAUAAAAGUGUAGCACUGUUUCCACACAAAAUACCUUCUGUUUUUGAAAAGAUGCCCAUGUGUGUCUUCCAGGUUGAACAUUCCACCCUUUGUGCCUGCCCGGACUGUGCUGGAAGGCCUCGAGUCAGAGGAUGCGUGUGAAGACAAGAAAGCUGUAAAAAAGGAGAUCCAUAGCAAAAAGGUCAAAUAAGUACAAACAAGUAUUUUACCUCGAUUAUUAACAGUUUAUUUUGCCCAAAAAUGUUAAGGGAGCCAAAAAGGACAAAAUGGAAGAGGAGAAUACAGACCUGCUCAGACUUUGCCACACAGUACCGCUGGAGGUGGUGAACUUAGGUAAGAAUCCAUGUUUCAAGGUUGAUCGGGGUGGGGGGAAGACAACGACACAAAGGUGCUCCUCUUAUUUAGACUUUUUGUUUAUGGAGGUGGGAAAGGUUACGAUCCAGAGAAGAAAGACUACUCAGGUUUUGAGGCCUGGUUGCAGUGUUACUAUGUGGAUGGAAUGAAGUCUGUACGCGACCACAAUGGCAGGACUAUGUAGUUCAAAGGCGAUCCAGGUCCUAUGGCUCCUAAAGAAUCAAAGUCUCCAAAGGCCAAAAAGAGAAAAGAUACAGAUGCAGACCAUGAUUACCCCCGCAAGAAAAAGGUGUCCAGGAAACACAACUCUGACAGCACAGUGAAGAAAAAAGCAGCCAAAAAGCCCACAAAAGCAGCAAAGGAAGAAGAAAAUGGACCUCAAGAAGAAGCCACACCCAGAAGAAGAUCAGCAAACACACCUCAGCAAGAACCGAAAUCCACGUCAGGCAGGAGGAAAAAGAACAAUACAGAGCCAGCUGCAGGUCUGAUUCUAAUAAUACUCCCAUUUUCUGAAAAUAUUAAGAGCCUGAUCUUUGAGGAUCCAAUUCCCACACACUUAUCUGUGUGCGCAAACUAUAAAAUUGCAUGUACUGUUGGUGGACGUGUUGUAUGUGAUCUACUUUGUGCAAUUGAUAGCAGCAAAAGUGGCACAGAUCACCCUAUUUUUGUGUACUAGAAGCAUUAUGUGCCCUUGGAAACACUUCUUUCCCUCUACAUUCAUGUUAUUAUGCUCUCCACACUGGAGGGGGGCUUAUAUUAGAUUAUAGCACAUAUCGAUCAUCUAACACCUUUUCUGCAAUAUAGAAUCACAGUAUGUAUACUAUUUGCAGCAGGAAUGAUCAAACUGCAUAUUGCAAGACAUUUUUUUUAGGAGUUAUACUAAAUACAAAAAAAAAAAACGCAACGCUUUUGUUCUUGUUCCCAAUUUAAAUGAACUCAAAGAUCGAAAACUUUGACUAUAAACACAAAAUACCUGUUCCUCUCAAAUAUUGUUCACAAAUCUGUAUACAUUUGUUAGUGAGCAUUUUUUCUUUGCCAAGAUAAUCCAUCCCACCUGACAGGUGUGCCUUGAGCUGUCCAAAAUAAAAGGCCACUGUGAAAUGUGCAGUUUUAUCACACAACACAAUGCUUCAGAUGUCGCACGUUUUGAGGGAGCGUGCAGUAGGCAUGCUGACUGCAGCAAUGUCCACCAGAGCUGUUGCCCGUCAAUUAAAUGUUUAUUUCUCCGCCAUAAGAAUAGAAUAGAAUAGAAAGUACUUUAUUGAUCCCUGGGGGAAAUUCAGCACCACAGUUCGCUCACAAUAAACAAUGAUAAUAAUAAAUAAUAUAAUAUAUAUGAAUAAUAUAAAUAUAUUCUACAUUUAAGUGCAGUCAAGGAACAUAUGCAUUAUACAGUCUGAUGGCUGUCGGUGUGAAGGACCUCCUGUGUCGUUCCGUGUUGCAUUUUGGGAGUCUGAGCCUUCCACUGAAUGUGCUCAUUCUCUCUGCAAGGUCCGAGUGUAGUGGGUGGGAGGUGUUGUCCAUAAUGGCUAGGAGUUUUGCUAGACUUCUCUCUGACACCACCGCCAGAGAGUCCAGCUCCACUCCCAUCUUGUUACUGGCCUUCUCUACCAACUUGUCCAGUCUGUAUGUGUCCCUCACUCUCAGCCCACUGCCCCAGCAGGCCACGGCGUACAAGAGGGCGCCUGCCACCAGCGACUCGUAGAACAUCUUCAACAUCUUUGUACAGACGUUGAAGGAUCCUAGCCUCCAAAGGAAAUAUAGAUUCGGCUCUGUCCCUUCUUGUAGAGGGCCUCAGCGUGUUUUGACCCAUUCAGCUUGUUGUCCAUGUGUACUCCGAGGUAUUUAUAAUCCUCUACCAUGUCCACAUCCACCCCCUUGAUGGAAAGAGGGGUCGCCAGAGUACUCCUCCUCCUUCCCAGGUCCACAACCAGCUCCUUGGUCUCCGUAACAUUGAGCUGGAGGUGGUUCUUUCCACACCAUGUGACAAAGUCCUCCACCAGUGUCCUGUAUUCCUCGUCAUCACCUUCCUCAAUACACCCCACUAUCGCAGAGUCAUCAGAAAACUUCUGAAGGUGGCAGGACUCUGACUGAUAGUGGAAAUGGGUGGUGUAAAUGGUGUAGAGGAAGGGGGAAGAGUACUGUAGCCUCCGGGGCCCCGGUGUUGCUGACCAGCCUGUCAGACACACAGUCCUGCAGUGGCAUAUACUGUGGUCUGUCAGUCAGGUAAUCUACAACCCAGGACACCAAGGGGGCCUCCACCUGCAUCUUCUCCAACUUCACACCCAGUAGCCCAGGCCGUUUAGUAUAAGCCGCCUCCAAAGGUGUUUCAGAGAAUUUGGCAAUACAUCCAACUGGCCUCACAGCCGCAGACCAUAUUGAUUGGCUGAGACCUGCCACCCGGACAGCUGCUACAACAAUUGGUUUGCUUAACCAUAGCAUUUCUGCACAAACUGUAAGAAACUACCAUGAAUUGAUUAACGUGGACCCCGACUUAAACAAGUUGAAAAACAUAUUGGGGUGUUACCAAUUAGUGGUCAAUUGUACGGAAUAUGUACUGAACUGUGCAAUCUACUAAUAAAAGUAUCAAUCAAUCAA